rnacentral:rRNA from 1 species
GAUGAACGCUGGCGGCGUGCCUAAUACAUGCAAGUCGAGCGAACAGACGAGGAGCUUGCUCCUUUGACGUUAGCGGGGGACGGGUGAGUAACAAGUGGAUAACCUACCUCUAAGACGGGGAUAACAUCGGGAAACCGGAUCCAAUACCGGAGAAUACAUUCAACCGCAGGGUGCAAUAGUGAAAGACAGUUUUCCUGUCACAUAUAGAUGGAUCCGCGUCGCAUUAGCUAGUUGGUAAGGUAACGGCUAACCACGGCAACGUUGCGUAGCCGACCUGAGGGGCUGAUCGGCCACACUGGAACUGAGACACGGUCCAGACUCCUACGGGAGGCAGCAGUGGGGAAUCUUCCGCAAUGGGCGAAAGCUUGACGGAGCCACGCCGCGUGAGUGAUGAAGGUCUUCGGAUCGUAAAGCUCUGUUAUUAGGGAAGAAAAAAUGUGUAAGUAACUAUGGACGUCUUGACGGUACCUAAUCAGAAAGCAACGGCUAACUUCGUG